GGGGUUGUGGCUCAGUGGUAGAGCACUCGCCUAGCAUGUGCGAGGCCCUGGGUUUGAUCCUCAGCACCA
rnacentral:tRNA from 1 species